GAUGAACGCUAGCUACAGGCUUAACACAUGCAAGUCGAGGGGAAACGGCAUCGAAAGCUUGCUUUUGAUGGGCGUCGACCGGCGCACGGGUGAGUAACGCGUAUCCAACCUGCCCAUCACUUGGGAAUAACCUUGCGAAAGUAAGACUAAUGCCCAAUGACAUCCCACGAAGGCAUCCGAAUGGGAUUAAAGAUUUAUCGGUGAUGGAUGGGGAUGCGUCUGAUUAGCUUGUUGGCGGGGUGACGGCCCACCGAGGCAACGAUCAGUAGGGGUUCUGAGAGGAAGGUCCCCCACAUUGGAACUGAGACACGGUCCAAACUCCUACGGGAGGCAGCAGUGAGGAAUAUUGGUCAAUGGGCGAGAGCCUGAACCAGCCAAGUAGCGUGCAGGAUGACGGCCCUAUGGGUUGUAAACUGCUUUUAUAAGGGAAUAAAGUGGGUCACGUGUGACUUUUUGCAUGUACCUUAUGAAUAAGGACCGGCUAAUUCCGUG
rnacentral:rRNA from 1 species